UUGCAUAUCAAAAAGCGGAGGAAAGUAAACCAACCGGGAUUGCCUUAGUAACGGCGAGUGAAGCGGCAAAAGCUCAAAUUUGAAAUCUGGUACCUUCGGUGCCCGAGUUGUAAUUUGGAGAGGGCAACUUUGGGGCCGUUCCUUGUCUAUGUUCCUUGGAACAGGACGUCAUAGAGGGUGAGAAUCCCGUGUGGCGAGGAGUGCGGUUCUUUGUAAAGUGCCUUCGAAGAGUCGAGUUGUUUGGGAAUGCAGCUCUAAGUGGGUGGUAAAUUCCAUCUAAAGCUAAAUAUUGGCGAGAGACCGAUAGCGAACAAGUACAGUGAUGGAAAGAUGAAAAGAACUUUGAAAAGAGAGUGAAAAAGUACGUGAAAUUGUUGAAAGGGAAGGGCAUUUGAUCAGACAUGGUGUUUUGUGCCCUCUGCUCCUUGUGGGUAGGGGAAUCUCGCAUUUCACUGGGCCAGCAUCAGUUUUGGUGGCAGGAUAAAUCCAUAGGAAUGUAGCUUGCCUCGGUAAGUAUUAUAGCCUGUGGGAAUACUGCCAGCUGGGACUGAGGACUGCGACGUAAGUCAAGGAUGCUGGCAUAAUGGUUAUAUGCCGCCCGUCUUGAACCACGGACCA
rnacentral:rRNA from 1 species